GCUGGGUGUGGUGGCACAUGCCUGUAAUCCCAGUGGUUUUGGAGGCUGAGGCAGGAGGAUUGCAAGUUCAAAGCCAGCCAUAGCAACGUCAUAAGCAACUCAGUGAGACCCUGUCUCUA
rnacentral:sRNA from 1 species